AUGUUCACUUCUCUUUACACAUUUCUUUUAUAUUCAUUUUGUACUCUGGCCAGCGGAAAGUCUUCCAGGGCCUGGGGAGUUUGUUCCCCUAGGUCAGCCCUUGAAAAUGGGAUCCUGGGGAGUAAGAUGCAUCAUAUCCCAGAGGACUGCAGUAAUAGUAAUGGAGAAGGAAACAGACGAAAAUAUAAUGGUGCAGCUCUCCUCCCUGCUAGCUGCUUGCGUUACUUUGCUCUGCAGGUGCAGGAGAAGCCAAGAAGGGACCUGACAGGAAUUGUGGUUUCCUUGGGAAAGACUGAGGAGCCUCUCUGGUGUUGUCCCUCAGUCCUGUUACAGAGCAGAAUUGCAGCAAUGGCACAGUAUAGUCCUCCUGUCGAUUUGUUGUCUCCUACCAAAUGUGGCUAUUUGAGACACCUAAACUCGUCGAGAAUGGAGAUGUACAUACUGGCCUGCCUGGUUAAUGCUGACAAACUAGCAAAGGGAAGGAAUACUGUGGAAGGAUGGAGGUCUUAG
rnacentral:lncRNA from 1 species